AACAAGAUGCCUGAUUAAAGGGUUAUUUCGAUAAAAUAAAUCAUGUGUUUCCACUCUUGUUA
rnacentral:tRNA from 1 species